rnacentral:piRNA from 1 species
UCACUUCAAUCGCUACCUAACGCGGCGCCG